UGGACCAAUGAUGACUACCGGUGGCGUAUGAGUCAUGCACAGUGAAUACCCUGUGUUUAGAACUCUGAGGUCCAA